UCGGGUAUCUCGCCUAAAUGAACAAUCACUUCCUAUAUCAAAGGAGCUAUUACAAUUAAGUGUUGGUUUUAUAACGAUGUGCUUAAUCCUCUUUUGAUACCGAUUAUGAGCGUUUCAUUAUAACUUGGACUUUUAAAACAAAACAGAGGACAGAGGAGAAAGUCACUUUAUCUUGCCUACUGUGUUUUUGAGCGAUUUAAAGAUGCUGUCUUUGGCAAGGUUACAACAUGUGUUUUGAUUCUAUUGAUCGCAUCUGUUUGACGGUCAUGGAUUUGUUUACAAGGGCCACACACUACCGGUGUGGUUUACAGGAGCAUGUAUGACGUCGGAUGUCGCUUACCAACUAAGGCUUCCAUUGGAGGUCAGACUGGCUUCAACAUUUCCGUGACAAACGACGACCACACAUACAGUAAUGAGAUAACUGCCGUACGGACAGACAAACACUGUGCCAACUGUCUUCAAUCAGGGACGUCGUGUACGGUAAAGUCUGGCACCUGUCUGAUUGAGGGUAACUGUAGGACGGCGGGGAGGUAAAAGCAUGGAUCAUUAAGUGCUCUUAGAAACGCGCUUGACACGUUGUGAUAUAUUGAGUGGAUUCUCCACAGGAAAUAGAACUUGACUGCGAUCCAAAUGUUGAUAUUGCCAAGUUCGUUUUGUGAAAUUCAGUCACUUGAAAGAAAACCUUCCAGAUUCAAAAUAUUACUGCACAAUGUAUAACUUCUUUCAUUGUCAGAUAAUUAUAUCAGAGUGCCAUCGAAACUUAUCAAAUAUUAACGAAAUAGCCAAUUGUCAAACGUUCUGGUGUUCCGAUACGGCGAUAUACAUAUCGGAACUUAUGUUUGUAUCAAGAUGUCCCUUUUACAUAAUCCAGCCGUUGCUACGAGAUUCUGCGGGCUGAAAACUGUCAAGAACAAAAUACGUAAUAACUCGAAUAUUGUUAGGACAUUUCUACGAGAUUACAGAAAACUCUGUACAUUUGUACAGACAUUCGGAGCAAACAUGUACCCCGGUCACACAGUCCUGAAACAUUCACCAUUCAUUGAAACGAAUGUCGAUCAUCAAGGCGUCCAACACCACAGCUGACUGUCAAGUAUUUUGAAAAAACUUACACAGUGUCUUAGUGUUGACAAAACAUAAUUAUUUCAAGAGGUUUGAUAUCUGGAUAUUGUAAGUUGUAGAAAUAUUGGAAUAGGGAUUUGUGUGCAUAAAUCUGGUUAACAAAAAGGAGGCGAAUUCGGUUAGGAAUGGUCAAUUAUUUUACACAUUUAUAAUGCAUACAUAAUAUGAACUGAUCUUUUUAUUCAUUUAUUUGAUACAACAUCACCAUUGCUGCCAAUACUGUCGUCAAAAGUUUUUACUAUACCUCGAGUCUUGCAUUAUAAGAUAGUAUGGGAGGACUUUGGGGUUACUAUUGAUAAAUGUUAUGAUUAACUGAUAGAUUUAUCUUUAAAAAUAUUACCUGUUUUGAAAGUGAAAGUAGAUUACUUUUUAUUAAAACACUAUCACAUUUCUAAAGUCUGAUUUAUGGAUAUUAGGCCUUUAACUGUAAAAACUUGCAGCCUUUUUAUCUUUAAAGAAAGUGAAGAAAUUAUGCAGCCAAUGAGCACGGACAGACCUUCAUAAUUUCUAAGCAACAAAUGAAAGAAGUCCGACACACUUGCAUAAAUGAGCAUAAAUGAGUUUGGGAUAAAAAGUUCGUUUAUGACCCAUAAUCAUUACCAAGACCAAAUCACGAAAUUCGAUUUCUUGCCAAACGUAUUAAUAUUUUUGUUAAAAUUUCGAAGGACAAAAGUUCAUAUUAGAACAAAAACUGUGUCCUUUACAAAGCUUAAUUUUAUUGUCACUUGAGCGUAUCGUUUAGAUAAAAUGCCUGAGACAGAACGAGUAGAGCUUAACAUGAUUGUGCAUGCACAGAAAACAACAUUGAUAUAAUUAUUUUAAUACCUUUUUAGCUCACAGAGCGGAUGUCAGUGUGCUCAUAAUCACGCGCUGUACACGCGUGCUGUGACGUAGGCGGGUUACAGUGUCAAGCGGCAAAUUCCAACCAGUGUGUGAAGUGUGGGGAUACCAAGAGCUGUGGACAUCGUAUGGGUGCAUGUCAAUGUGGACGUACCCACCGGAAUCAAUGUGUCGCCUGUGACCAUUUGGACCAAUGCGGCAACAAACCCUGGACCGCCGAUGGCCUAGGGCCCUUUAAUAUAUUUCAAACCCAGUCGGUGGGUGUAGUGAAUGUAACCGUUUAACAGCGGGAACACGGACACUUAAAAGAAUUAGAAUAGCAUUAAUUGUAUUUCUCUAUUUCUUCGUUUCUUAACAUCGGUCUUGUCACUUGAAUUAUC